rnacentral:rRNA from 1 species
UCGCUCCUACCGAUUGGAUGAUCCGGUGAAAUCUUCGGAGAGUGGAUUUUUAUGGGGCAACUCAUUGGUUCGCUCAAAGUUGAUUAAGCCUUAUCAUCUAGAGGAAGGAG